UAGUGCUCAGAGAGAGGAGAUUUUAACUCCCACCCUUAACUCCCAAAGCUAAGAUUCUAAGUUAAACUACCCUCUG
rnacentral:tRNA from 1 species